rnacentral:rRNA from 1 species
UACGUAGGAGGCAAGCGUUGUCCGGAGUUACUGGGCGUAAAGCGCACGCAGGCGGUUCAGUCAGUCUGUAGGGACAGGGCACAGCUCAACUGUGUCAGGCUUACGGAAACUGCUGAACUUGAGGGCUUCAGAGGGAUGGGGAAUUCCGGGUGGAGUGGUGAAAUGCGUAGAGAUCCGGAAGAACGCCAAAGGCGAAGGCACCAUCCUGGGGAGUCACUGACGCUCGGGUGCGAAAGCUAGGGGAGCGAACGGG